UCUUCAGAGAGCAGAUCCUGGACUAGGGAGGACACCGAGUUGACAAGUCAGUCAUGGAUUCUGAAACACAAGGCUGCAAACCCAGGUUUUCCUAGAAGACUUGAGUCAUUGGGUAACUCUGCCUGUGGUGUUUGAGUACGGAUGGCACCUGAGACAUAAGAGGCGGGACCUGGGUCCAGACUCAAAGCUGUUUUCCAGACUGCUCCCGGAAGAUCAUUAUUUUUCAUUGGAAUCGACAGGAAGGGGGAACAAAGCUGCAAUCAAUAAAAGCUUCUUUGGAAACGGCAUGCGUUCCCAUGAUCCAUCGUGCAAUGAUCUAUGCAGCAGGGGGCUUUUCCGUUAUGUCUGCGGAGGCCAGGAGAAAUACACUUCAGGAGGCUGGGCAUCUAGAGCCUCUCAGGUGGUGAUGGGGAAGGAAAAACACUCUCAAGAGGGUCCAGUCAUUGAAGAAACUCGGAGGUGAUCGUUCUUAAAGUGGGGUCCCCCACUACAGCAGCAUGGCCUGGGGACCCUGCAGAUGUAGAUCCUCAGGUCCCACCCCAACACCUGUCAAACAAAAAACCUGGGUAGGGGGUAAUCUGGGUUGGAAGGACUCAGGCAAUCCUGCUGCAAGUGGCAGUUGGGUACCACUGUUUUCUGCCUCACAAACCCAGAGGCUUGGAUGGGACAUGGACUACAGCUCUCUGCUCAGAAAUUGGUCCAACCUGGACAUUAACUCCUACCUUGCUUCGCAGACAGGACCCCAGUCAGAGCGCUACUGCUGGACUUGCCUUGGCUCUUGGAGUUUUUCCGCCUCUCGAGAGCAUUCUGCAACAGCAAUAGAAAAACCAAAAACCUAGUCAGGAAAGACAGCGAUGGAAAAAUACUUUGUUAAGGGGAUACACCCCGUGUACUCACAAGAUCACUGGCAGACUCCAAAUGUAGCCUAAAACAUAGAACUCUCAAUCCUUGGGAUUUUAAAAGACUCCAUAUAGAGAGCUUGAUUGGUUUUUAAGUUACCGCAAAGGAGAAAGGCAGCAACUGUAGUCUCUUAUCUAACAUGUAGAGAGUUUGUUAUGGAAAUCACUUUAGAACAGACAUGAGAUGAAGACUACAUUUGCUUUCAUGUACCAAUGGUGGUAUCUGGAAAGAUAUGACGUUUGGAUUGUAAAAGGAUCAUGGUCAGUUAGUGAUGUCUGCCUUGGACACGGGAUUAAGUACACAUGUUGCUAUGGUCAUUCUUAGAAUGGACUCUUGUCUUCACACUGAUGUAUAGUAGUCAGCCAUUGUUUUCGAAUAUGAACACGAUACAUGACACAGGAAAGGAUGCAUAUGGUUAUAAAUGCAUAUACUAAAAAGCACAUACUUCCUUCUUCAUGUUUAUAUACAGAUUGAUGUAAACGAGAGUGUGGCUCCCACCAAAUGGAAAGCCAUGGUGAUCUCUGAGGACAAAGCCAAUGUCAACAACCAGGACAAUGAGCCAGCUCUCCCUAGAAUUCUGUUGGCUAUAAAACUUCCACAGCGGGAAGAACCAUCAAUCUAUUUUCAAAGCAGAGAGUCCCAGGAGAGUUUUCCAAUUAUAACACUUACAACUAACACUGCAGAAAUAGAUAUUAUCCAACCAAUGGAGUUGGAAUUGGACUAAACAACAGUGAGGCAAAUUCAAACACUCUCCCCUCUCUGUGUGCCUUGAACAUCAGCAUUUGGGUUGUGAUGCUCCAUCCUUGCUUCUCCCACAGAAACCAUUUUCUUGGGGAUAAUUAUGAGAUAAACAGCAUCUGACAACUAGACAUUUCAUAGAGGAAGCAGAGAGGACCCCUGAGGUCAAAGGGCUGAGACUCCAAGAUGGAAGCACAUAGGUUUUGGAGUUCCCAGGAUGCCCUGUCCAGACUAUAGACAUAGAAACAGAUACUGGGGGCGGGGGCAUGGCGUUGGGAGUUGACCUUUUUGUGGUUGGUUUCACUGGCUAUUCCAAUUAGGGGUCUUACUGGACUCCACUUGGGAGGACAGGAAAGGGAUGGAAUGUCUUUGAAACGUAAGAGGGAAUGAAAACAGGCUGACAGGCAGAUGCUGAGUGGAGAAUCACAGACUUGGUCUUGAUUGUGUUACCUUGUAUUUGGCAAUGUUUGACUUCAGAAGGCUGACCUCCUCAUGGAGUUGUUUCAAUCUCUCUUGGAGAUAUCUAGAAGAAAAAAAAAAUCCACAUAACCAGGAUGGGCAUGGGGGAGGAAUGAAGCCCACUGAAUGAUAAGAGCAAAACAUGAAGCCCAGGUGUCAUUUGUGUGUAACGACUUCUUUCUCAUCCUGGAGGGCAGGGGCAGGGAAGUGUGACCUUUUAUGAAACGGAUUCGAUCAAGGUCAGACAUGCCUGAAGCACAGACACCCCAUUUUAAAAACAGCCCUCUCGGAGAUCCCCUAAGGGACAACAACAUCCUUUUCAUAUAAUUCUCAUUAAGUGAUUCCACCAGGGAGCAAACCAGGAAGAGAAGACGCCAGCCAUAACACGAGUCAGACACAUCCACACGCUGAAAUGUGCCUGGGGGGAAAGACACAGCUAAGGGAAUUUCUCAAUUUAUUUUCUUAUUCUUUCUCCUCUCCUUGACAGCAAUCACAAACAACGCUUCCUGGUUCUUCAUCCUUGUGGCCCAAACAGAGGUGUGGGAAGCGAGGGAGGCUGGAUAAGUGGGCGUCUCUCCCUUCUCUUCUUACUUUUGUAACCAGUCCAUGCCAUUGCCAAUAUUUGGGCUCUGUGACUUGCUCUUUAUUCCCAUCGCAGCUGUCUCAAGUGCAGGCAGGCUGCAGGAACCCCCAGACUGCCUCCCUCAG